rnacentral:tRNA from 1 species
GCCGGUGUGCUGAAAUUGGUAGACGGGACAGACUCAAAAUCUGUUGUCAGUAAUGGCGUGUGGGUUCGAGUCCCACCACCGGCA